rnacentral:rRNA from 1 species
UACGUAGGUGGCAAGCGUUGUCCGGAAUUAUUGGGCGUAAAGCGCGCGCAGGCGGUCCUUUAAGUCUGAUGUGAAAGCCCUCGGCUCAACCGAGGAGGGUCAUUGGAAACUGGAGGACUUGAGUGCAGAAGGGGAAAGUGGAAUUCCAAGUGUAGCGGUGAAAUGCGUAGAGAUUUGGAGGAACACCAGUGGCGAAGGCGACUUUCUGGUCUGUAACUGACGCUGAGGCGCGAAAGCGUGGGGAGCAAACAGG